rnacentral:ncRNA from 1 species
GUUUUAGAGUUUGAUCCUGGCUCAGAAUGAACGCUUUUUAUUUGCUUAACACAUGCGAGUCGAACGUUUUCUUUUUUGAAUAAGGUGGCGCACGGGUGAGUAACGCGAAAGCAUUUACUUUAUAACUAUUGUACGCUUUUUAAUUAAAGACAAAUACAAAAUAACGUUGAAUAGUGACCAAAGAUUAAAUUGUUAUAAAAUAAGCUUUCGUAAGAUUAGGUAGUUGGUGGACUAAGAGCUUACCAAGCCAAAGAUCUUUUAUUGAUCUGAGAGGAUGACCAGUCACACUAGAACUGAGAUAAGGACUAGACUUUUGCGAAAGGCAGCAGUGGGGAAUUUUGAACAAUGAGCGCAAGGCUUGAUUCAGCAAUAUAAAGUGGGUGACGACAGCUGUUUGGUUGUAAAGCUCUUUUGUCAAUAAGGAUUAUGACUUUAUUUGAAAAAAAAACCCCGGCUAAUUUCGUGCCAGCAGCCGCGGUGAUACGAAAGGGGUUAGUGUUAUUCAAUCUUAUUGGGCGUAAAGAGUGCGUAGGUUGUAAUUCAAUGAUUUGAAGUAAAAGUUUAAUUUGAUUAUUAAAAUUGUCUUUUUAAACAGAUUGCUAGAGUAAAUUAGAGGGUUUUGGAAUUUCAAGUGGAGAAAUAAAAUUCGUAGAGUUUUGAAGGAAUAUCAAAUGCGAAGGCAAGAGCCUGGCUUUUAACUGACGCUAAUGCACGAAAGUAUAGGUAUCAACCAGGAUUAGUGACCCUGCUAGUCUAUACUGUAAACUAUAAACAUUAAUUUUUGGAAUCUUAAAUUCAGAGGUUUAGCUAACGCGUUAAAUGUUUCGCCUGAGGAGUACGCCGGCAACGUUAAAACUCAAAGGAAUUGACGGGGAUCUAUACAAUCUGCGGAAUAUGUGAUUUAAUUCGUAAGUACACGCAAAACCUUACCAACUUUUGCAUAUUUGCAUAGUAAACAUUUUAAUAUUUUUGUCGUAAAUACAGGUGCUGCAUGGCUGUCGUCAGCUCGUGUUUUGAAAUGUUAGGUUAAGUCCAGUAACGAGCGAAACCCUUUUUUCUUAUUGCAAAUAAAAAAUUUAGCUUUUUUUUAAAAUUUAGAUGACUUUUUUUAAUCAUAAAAAUUUUAGCCUUUUUAAAUAACUAUUUUUAAUUCUUGAACUUUAGAAACAUUGCCUGCUAUACGGAGGAUGAAAGAAAGGAUGAUGUCAAGUCUUCAUGGCCCUUAUGAGUUGGGCUACCCAUUUAUUACAAUGACAACAUCAAUAAGUAGCACUAAUGGAAAUUGUAGCUAAUCUUUUAAAAGUUGUCAUAGUCCGAAUUGUUUUCUGCAACUCGAAAACAUGAAGUUGGAGUAGAUAGUAAUCGUUUAUCAGCACGGAACGAUGAAUUUGUACCUAGAUCUUGUACAUACCGCCCGUCACAGCUUGGGAAUUAUUUUUUUUCAAAAAUUUUAAAAAAUUUAGAUUUUCUAAACAGUGGGUUUAUAAUAAUAUUGUUUAAAACAAGGCUUUUUAAACUUAUACAAUUUAGAAUAAAAUUAAUGACUGUGCUGAAGUCGUAACAAGGUAAUGGUAGGGGAACCUGCUGUUGGAAAAAUUCC